GGCGUGUGACUGCGUACCUUUUGUAUAAUGGGUCAGCGACUUAUAUUCUGUAGCAAGGUUAACCGAAUAGGGGAGCCGAAGGGAAACCGAGUCUUAACUGGGCGUUAAGUUGCAGGGUAUAGACCCGAAACCCGGUGAUCUAGCCAUGGGCAGGUUGAAGGUUGGGUAACACUAACUGGAGGACCGAACCGACUAAUGUUGAAAAAUUAGCGGAUGACUUGUGGCUGGGGGUGAAAGGCCAAUCAAACCGGGAGAUAGCUGGUUCUCCCCGAAAGCUAUUUAGGUAGCGCCUCGUGAAUUCAUCUCCGGGGGUAGAGCACUGUUUCGGCAAGGGGGUCAUCCCGACUUACCAACCCGAUGCAAACUGCGAAUACCGGAGAAUGUUAUCACGGGAGACACACGGCGGGUGCUAACGUCCGUCGUGAAGAGGGAAACAACCCAGACCGCCAGCUAAGGUCCCAAAGUCAUGGUUAAGUGGGAAACGAUGUGGGAAGGCCCAGACAGCCAGGAUGUUGGCUUAGAAGCAGCCAUCAUUUAAAGAAAGCGUAAUAGCUCACUGGUCGAGUCGGCCUGCGCGGAAGAUGUAACGGGGCUAAACCAUGCACCGAAGCUGCGGCAGCGACGCUGAUGCGUUGUUGGGUAGGGGAGCGUUCUGUAAGCCUGUGAAGGUGUGCUGUGAGGCAUGCUGGAGGUAUCAGAAGUGCGAAUGCUGACAUAAGUAACGAUAAAGCGGGUGAAAAGCCCGCUCGCCGGAAGACCAAGGGUUCCUGUCCAACGUUAAUCGGGGCAGGGUGAGUCGACCCCUAAGGCGAGGCCGAAAGGCGUAGUCGAUGGGAAACAGGUUAAUAUUCCUGUACUUGGUGUUACUGCGAAGGGGGGACGGAGAAGGCUAUGUUGGCCGGGCGACGGUUGUCCCGGUUUAAGCGUGUAGGCUGGUUUUCCAGGCAAAUCCGGAAAAUCAAGGCUGAGGCGUGAUGACGAGGCACUACGGUGCUGAAGCAACAAAUGCCCUGCUUCCAGGAAAAGCCUCUAAGCAUCAGGUAACAUCAAAUCGUACCCCAAACCGACACAGGUGGUCAGGUAGAGAAUACCAAGGCGCUUGAGAGAACUCGGGUGAAGGAACUAGGCAAAAUGGUGCCGUAACUUCGGGAGAAGGCACGCUGAUAUGUAGGUGAAGUCCCUCGCGGAUGGAGCUGAAAUCAGUCGAAGAUACCAGCUGGCUGCAACUGUUUAUUAAAAACACAGCACUGUGCAAACACGAAAGUGGACGUAUACGGUGUGACGCCUGCCCGGUGCCGGAAGGUUAAUUGAUGGGGUUAGCGCAAGCGAAGCUCUUGAUCGAAGCCCCGGUAAACGGCGGCCGUAACUAUAACGGUCCUAAGGUAGCGAAAUUCCUUGUCGGGUAAGUUCCGACCUGCACGAAUGGCGUAAUGAUGGCCAGGCUGUCUCCACCCGAGACUCAGUGAAAUUGAACUCGCUGUGAAGAUGCAGUGUACCCGCGGCAAGACGGAAAGACCCCGUGAACCUUUACUAUAGCUUGACACUGAACAUUGAGCCUUGAUGUGUAGGAUAGGUGGGAGGCUUGGAAGUGUGGACGCCAGUCUGCAUGGAGCCGACCUUGAAAUACCACCCUUUAAUGUUUGAUGUUCUAACGUUGACCCGUAAUCCGGGUUGCGGACAGUGUCUGGUGGGUAGUUUGACUGGGGCGGUCUCCUCCUAAAGAGUAACGGAGGAGCACGAAGGUUGGCUAAUCCUGGUCGGACAUCAGGAGGUUAGUGCAAUGGCAUAAGCCAGCUUGACUGCGAGCGUGACGGCGCGAGCAGGUGCGAAAGCAGGUCAUAGUGAUCCGGUGGUUCUGAAUGGAAGGGCCAUCGCUCAACGGAUAAAAGGUACUCCGGGGAUAACAGGCUGAUACCGCCCAAGAGUUCAUAUCGACGGCGGUGUUUGGCACCUCGAUGUCGGCUCAUCACAUCCUGGGGCUGAAGUAGGUCCCAAGGGUAUGGCUGUUCGCCAUUUAAAGUGGUACGCGAGCUGGGUUUAGAACGUCGUGAGACAGUUCGGUCCCUAUCUGCCGUGGGCGCUGGAGAACUGAGGGGGGCUGCUCCUAGUACGAGAGGACCGGAGUGGACGCAUCACUGGUGUUCGGGUUGUCAUGCCAAUGGCACUGCCCGGUAGCUAAAUGCGGAAGAGAUAAGUGCUGAAAGCAUCUAAGCACGAAACUUGCCCCGAGAUGAGUUCUCCCUGACUCCUUGAGAGUCCUGAAGGAACGUUGAAGACGACGACGUUGAUAGGCCGGGUGUGUAAGCGCAGCGAUGCGUUGAGCUAACCGGUACUAAUGAACCGUGAGG
rnacentral:rRNA from 1 species